rnacentral:sRNA from 1 species
GCCUGGUGUGGUGGCACACGCCUGUAAUCCCAGCUGCUUGGGAGGCAGAGGCAGGAGGAUCACAAGUUCAGAGCUGGCCUCAACAAUUUUGUGAGGUGCUAAGCAACUCAGUGAGAUCCUAUCUCUA